ACGCUUGUACACGGUUUCCGUUCGAUCAUCGAAGUUAAGCACUGUCGAGCCCGGUCAGUACUUAAAUGGGGGACUGCUUAGGAAGACCGGGUAU